rnacentral:rRNA from 1 species
CCUACGGGUGGCUGCAGUGGGGAAUAUUGGACAAUGGGGGGAACCCUGAUCCAGCCAUGCCGCGUGUGUGAAGAAGGCCCUCGGGUUGUAAAGCACUUUCAGUGAGGAAGAACGCCUGGUGGUUAAUACCCAUCAGGAAAGACAUCACUCACAGAAGAAGCACCGGCUAACUCCGUGCCAGCAGCCGCGGUAAUACGGAGGGUGCGAGCGUUAAUCGGAAUUACUGGGCGUAAAGCGCGCGUAGGUGGCUUGAUAAGCCGGUUGUGAAAGCCCCGGGCUCAACCUGGGAACGGCAUCCGGAACUGUCAAGCUAGAGUGCAGGAGAGGAAGGUAGAAUUCCCGGUGUGGCGGUGAAAUGCGUAGAGAUCGGGAGGAAUACCAGUGGCGAAGGCGGCCUUCUGGACUGACACUGACACUGAGGUGCGAAGGCGUGGGUAGCAAACAGGAUUAGAUACCCUAGUAGUC